AAUGAACAAGGUAAACAUGAGCUGUCGUUCGCUUAUAAAUUCCGUAAUUCAGUAGUACCGAUCUAGGGUUCAUGUGAGUGAAUCUUACUGUUCUUCGGACCGUGUAUAAAAAUGCUGCUCUGUUAUCAGUUGUAGCUGCAGUUCUAUCGUUGUGAGUCUCUCUCAUGGUCCAAUAGAAUGCCCUUUUCAGAGAAAAUACUCCAGAUCUAUUUACUAUGAUUUAGUUCUGGUAUUGAUUUUUAUUUAGUAUGAAUACUCACAUAAUGAAUCUAUUAAAUGAUCUAAAUACCACCUAUUCACAGAGUACUUGUGCCGCUGUUUUUUUUACUUAUCGCGCCAUUCUUUACGUUUGUAUUGCAACAAAGUAAAUUUUGUAGGCUCAGAGAAAUCUUCUGGAUUGUUUAGACCACAUAUUUGUUUUCUUUCUCAACAGUCAUGAUGCACAACGUAGUAAUUUUGAUUUUUCAUUUGGAUGUUAUAUACUCUUUACAAGAUCUACAAGUUGCACACAAUUCAUAUUUGAUGUUUAGUCUUGCUAAUUCUCGAAACAUUCCCAUGUUUGUUCUCCUACAGAGCUUUUGAUACCUUAUCUAUACUCAUGCUUAAAAGAUACUCCCUCCGUAACUAAAUAUUAGAAGUUUUUGUAGUUCAAUUUGAACAACAAAAAUGUCUUAAUAUUUAGUUAUAGGGUAGUACUUGUCUUGGUUGAUUGCUUUAUGAAGAAAGUAGACCAUUUUAGAUCGAAGAUAUGGAUUUAUGAUAGUUUUGAGACAGAGAGGAAGAAAUAACAAGUUUGGGAAAUGAUGAAACUUCCAAAAAAUUUGACAAUUUGAUUCAGCAUGUGGUUAGGUCAUGCUCUCAGGAGAUAAAUGUUCUUCUGUAAUUUUAGUUUCAAGUACUUUUGAUUGAUAAUAAGAAGGAUAUGUGUUUAUUGAUUGUUUUAUACUACUAUUAUUUAGGUGAUGCAAAUCAAUAUCUUGCUUUGUCUAUGCUAUGAAGUGGCCUAAGCGCUAGACCACAGGGAACCAGGAACGGUUACUUUCCUGGUGACCUUAUUAUUCGGUAUGGUGCUUGCAAAUUGAUCUUUUGUUGUGUUUAUUCACUGAAGCUUGUACUGUCAAACAGAGUUGCUAUUGUAUUGAUGCCUUGGAAUGUUGUUAAAUCAAGUAAUGCAGCUGAAUUUGUCUACUACAUGUUAAUCUUGCUCUUUGAUACUUGCUCACAAAUUGUUUACUUGAUGCUUGAUGGCAACUGCUAUUCUUACAAGACUAUCAAUCUGAGAUAUUAUCAUAACUCAGAAAAAUGAGAUGUGCACAUAUGUUUGUAUUUUGAUUUACUAAUGGUUUCCUUCAUGUGAAUGUUUUAUUGCAUUAUCCGAUUUCUAAUCUGCAGUAAAUGUGACACAAGUUUAUCAUUUCUCAUUGUAUGGAGUGAACCGAGGCAGCAACUAGCUGGACGUGGAAGUGUUGUUCCUGAAGGAGAAGCAUGAGGUUGUGCUUGAGAAGAUCUCCAGGCUGGAGGAGAUGGCUUCUCUAUUCAUUUAUUUUCUCCCUGAAGUCCUUUGUUGUGAUGUAUUUGCUAGCAUGGGAUGUCGGAUUCAGAGCAACAAGGCGACUAAAGGAUGGGGUUAUCGCAAGGAGGCACACACAUAGAUGAUCGGUGAGGUCGCUAGAGCUUAUGAGGUGGAGUGAGGAACAAGAGCGGAACGGAUUCUGUCGCCACGAUGUUGAAUGGGAUGUGCACCACUGUUUUUGUGCCUAUAUUAAAGUAUAUUUGUGUGAUGAGCAGCUAUAGCUUGUGUUCGCAAAUUUGUUCCUUUUUGGCUUUAACCAUUUUUUGUGAAGAGAAUAUUUUGUAAACCAGUGCAAACUUUACCUGAAUUACCAUCCAUUUGGCAAAAUGUUAAAGCAGAUUA